rnacentral:snRNA from 1 species
GUGCUUGCUUCAGCAGCACAUACACUAAAAUUGGAAUGAUACAGAGAAGAUUAUCAUGGUCCCUGCGCAAGGAUGACAAGCAAAUUCGUGAAGCAUUCCAUUUUUUU